AACGAACGCUGGCGGCAUGCCUAACACAUGCAAGUCGAACGAGACCUUCGGGUCUAGUGGCGCACGGGUGCGUACGCGUGGGAACCUUCCCUUAGGUUCGGAAUAACCCCCCGAAAGGGGUUCUAAUACCGGAUAAUUUCCUCGGACCAAAGAUUUAUCGCCUUUGGAUGGGCCCGGGUUGGAUUAGCUAGUUGGUAGGGUAAAAGCCUACCAAGGCGACGAUCCAUAGCUGGUCUGAGAGGAUGAUCAGCCACACUGGGACUGAGACACGGCCCAGACUCCUACGGGAGGCAGCAGUGGGGAAUAUUGGACAAUGGGCGAAAGCCUGAUCCAGCAAUGCCGCGUGAGUGAUGAAGGCCUUAGGGUUGUAAAGCUCUUUUACCCGGGAUGAUAAUGACAGUACCGGGAGAAUAAGCUCCGGCUAACUCCGUG
rnacentral:rRNA from 1 species